rnacentral:rRNA from 1 species
AACGAACGCUGGCGGCAUGCCUAACACAUGCAAGUCGAACGAUGACCUUCGGGUCAUAGUGGCGCACGGGUGAGUAGCGCGUGGGAAUCUGCCCAUUGGUUCGGAAUAACGUUGGGAAACCGACGCUAAUACCGGAUACGCCCUUCGGGGGAAAGAUUUAUUGCCAAUGGAUGAGCCCGCGUCGGAUUAGUUAGUUGGUGGGGUAACGGCCUACCAAGACGUCGAUCCGUAGCUGGUCUGAGAGGACGAUCAGCCACACUGGGACUGAGACACGGCCCAGACUCCUACGGGAGGCAGCAGUGGGGAAUAUUGGACAAUGGGGGCAACCCUGAUCUAGCCAUGCCGCGUGAGUGAUGAAGGCCUUAGGGUUGUAAAGCUCUUUCAGCUGGGAAGAUAAUGACGGUACCAGCAGAAGAAGCCCCGGCUAACUCCGUGCCAGCCGCC